rnacentral:rRNA from 1 species
AGAGUUUGAUCCUGGCUCAGGACGAACGCUGGCGGCGUGCUUAACACAUGCAAGUCACGGGGGUCCCGCAAGGGAUAACCGGCGAACGGGUGCGUAACACGUGAGCGACCUGCCUCUCCGCGGGGGAUAGCCGGCCCAACGGCCGGGUAAUACCGCAUACGUUCAGUUUGGGGCAUCCCGAACUGAGGAAACCUCCGGGGCGGAGAGAGGGGCUCGCGGCCUAUCAGCUAGUUGGCGGGGUAAUGGCCCACCAAGGCAGCGACGGGUAGCUGGUCUGAGAGGAUGGCCAGCCACAUUGGGACUGAGAAACGGCCCAGACUCCUACGGGAGGCAGCAGUGGGGAAUCUUGCGCAAUGGCCUAACGGCUGACGCAGCGACGCCGCGUGUGGGAGGACGCCCUUCGGGGUGUAAACCACUGUUGCCCGGGACGAACAGCCUGAUUCAUCAGGCCUGACGGUACCGGGUGAGGAAGCACCGGCUAACUCCGUGCCAGCAGCGGCGGUAAUAC